rnacentral:tRNA from 1 species
UCCCUAGUGGCUCAGACGGUAAAGCGUCUGGCUGCAAAGCAGGACACCUGGGUUCAAUCCCUGGGUUGGGAA